UGAUGUUUGCGUGAAAGGACUGUCCUGUCUCCAAGGUCUGUGCACAAUAGCAGCUGAGAAAGGUCCAGUGUCCACAGCCACUGGCCUCAGUGAACGUAAGCUUCCUUCUCCUUGCAAAUCUGCUACACAAAGUGAGCCAUGAGCUGACUCCCCUGUCCAUGAACCCACAGUUUUAAGCGUGAGAUUUGGAGGCCACUGAAAACACACUAGGACCCUAGACUUUGUGGGGGUCAUUUAUCAUUCUGAGGACAAGGUAUGAGGGGAGAGGAAGGGCAGUGCUGGGAAAGGGAAUUGAGUCUGUGUAAAUUUGGCCAUUAACAUGCAAUAGUUAUUACAGAGGUUAACCUUUAAAUACUGUUGGCUAAAAAUAGUGUGCAACAAACAAAAUGUCCAACUUUAAGCUCAAGCCCCCCACUGUGGAUAUCAACUUCUCUAAUGUGGAAGCUGCCUGUGGGGAUGGUCACCUCUGCACACGUGCAUCCCAUGGUCCCAGACACCUGGGAAGAUACUUAAGUUCUUUCUUUUCAUUAGAGAUCUGAGAACCAACCAGUCAAUGAAUCAGCUCAAUGGAAUACAGUGCUGUAGUCAAGGCCCUGGUUAAAUAUUAAAAGCAUCUCUUAGCUCUUUAACUUGUAGCUGUUUAACUUGGUAAGUGGAGUUGAAGUCCCAGCCUGCUCAUGGCGAUUACUGAUUAAUGCCUGUGCACAUUUGUACAAGUCCCCUGGCUGCCCGAUCGCCUGUCCUGCGGAGUGCAACUUUCCUUCAUCGAGCAGUCAACCUCCACCCAACGGGGACAGCGGACACUUCCUGAGAAGCCACCAGGCCCUGCCCCGACCCUUUACCGACCGUGGCUCGUUAAAGGAGCCUCAUACCAACCUUGUAAGCAACUGGUACCGCUCAAUGUGGUGGCAGCUCCAUUAACCAGGGGCCUGGAAGGGGAGUCGUGGAGCAGAUCCCCUGGCUGGCUGGUGAUGGAUGUGCAGCCUGGCUGACAGCCAAACCUUUGCUGUCAGAAGCCAUUUCUGCUGGGGGCUGUUUCCUGCUGUGGCACAGCCUAGCUGUCCUCACUGAGACUCCAAGGUUGAAAUCCUAAACCCCAGUGUGUUGGUAUUAGGAGGUGGAGUCCUUGGGAAGUAAUUAGGUCAUGAGGUGGAGCCCUCGUGACUGGGAUUAGUGUCCAUAUAAGAGACCUGAGAGCUUGCCCCUUUCUUCUCUCUGCAUCAUGCGAGGACACAGCAAGAAGGCUGUCUGCAAACCAGGAAGACAGCCCUCGCAGGACACUGGAUCUAUUGGUGCCUUGAUCUUAAGACUUCCCAGCUUCCAAAACUCUGUGACUCCAGACAGGAUCCAGAGAGGGGUUCAUAGAGUCUUUGGGUUUUAUGGAGACUUACUUUGCCCUUCUGUGUUAGCCUCUUAAGGCACUGUGUUAACUUUAGGCACAGGAAGGCAGGAGAAUCGCUUGAACCUGGGAGGUGGAGGUUGCAGUGAUCCGAGAUCGUGCCAUUGCACUACAG